GACGAACGCUGGCGGCGUGCUUAACACAUGCAAGUCGAGCGGUAAGGCCCUUUCGGGGGUACACGAGCGGCGAACGGGUGAGUAACACGUGGGUGACCUGCCCUCAGCUCUGGGAUAAGCCUGGGAAGCUGGGUCUAAUACUGGAUAUGACUCCACGGUGCAUGUCGUGGGGUGGAAAGCCUUGUGCGGCUGAGGAUGGGCCCGCGGCCUAUCAGCUUGUUGGUGGGGUGAUGGCCUACCAAGGCGACGACGGGUAGCCGGCCUGAGAGGGCGACCGGCCACACUGGGGCUGAGACACGGCCCAGACUCCUACGGGAGGCAGCAGUGGGGAAUCUUGCGCAAUGGGCGAAAGCCUGACGCAGCGACG
rnacentral:rRNA from 1 species